UCCCCCGAAGCUUUUCCACUUGCUAGGGACUCCAACGCGCCGCUGGAGAGGGUGAGAGGGAGAGGGAGAGGCGGAGGGGGAACUGGGAGAGCUUGGAGUUAAUGGCGAGCUCGAGCCCGUAAACCCUCGUUGUUUAGAUGGAAUCAAGAUGAUAGUUCAGAAGGGAACUCAUAUUUCUUGGUAUAGGAAAGACAUUCUUUUAAGCAAGGGAUCUGCCUUAAAUUCUAAGGAAAGAAAUUGAGGAAGACAGGAAGCAAUAGAGACUAUUCUGUUCCUAUGGGGGAAUACGGUGGCACUCAAUUCCAGGGAAUAGGUGAAGGAACUCUCAAAGCAGACAGUUUUCGGAAAGUCUCAGUUAUUCCCCUUGUCUUCCUCAUCUUCUAUGAGGUCUCUGGUGGCCCCUUUGGGAUAGAGGACAGUGUUCAGGCGGCUGGCCCCCUCCUAGCUAUCCUCGGCUUCCUGAUUUUCCCAUUCAUAUGGAGCAUCCCAGAAGCACUGAUCACUGCCGAGAUGGGGACAAUGUUCCCGGAGAACAGCGGAUAUGUUGUCUGGGUCUCUUCAGCUCUGGGGCCUUUCUUGGGUUUCCAGCAAGGUUGGAUGAAAUGGCUUAGUGGUGUCAUCGACAAUGCGCUGUAUCCAGUUCUCUUUUUAGACUAUUUGAAGUCUGGCGUUCCGGCUUUCGGAGGUGGGCUGCCAAGGACAUUGGCGGUGUUAAUACUGACAGUUGCGCUAACUUACAUGAACUACAGAGGCUUGACUAUAGUUGGAUGGGUAGCUGUCUUUCUCGGUGUGUUCUCAAUCCUUCCAUUCAUUUUUAUGGGGCUUGUGGCUAUCCCGAAACUUAGGCCUUCAAGAUGGUUAAUGGUUGACAUGCACAAUGUUGAUUGGAAUUUGUACUUGAAUACGCUAUUUUGGAAUCUCAACUACUGGGAUUCUAUCAGUACUUUGGCAGGAGAAGUUGACAAUCCGAGGAGAACUCUUCCGAAGGCUCUCUUGUAUGCACUCAUCUUGGUUGUUGUUGGGUACUUAUAUCCCCUCCUGACAGGUACAGGAGCUAUUCCGCUUGAUAGGGAGCUGUGGACAGAUGGUUAUUUCUCUGAUAUCGCGAAAAUUCUAGGCGGGGUUUGGUUGAGAUGGUGGAUCCAAGGGGCUUCGGCAUUAUCCAACAUGGGAAUGUUCAUAGCAGAAAUGAGCAGUGAUUCUUAUCAACUUCUUGGGAUGUCAGAACGGGGGAUGCUCCCAGAGUUCUUUAGCAAGAGGUCACGCUAUGGGACUCCACUUGUGGGGAUAUUGUUCUCCGCUUCUGGUGUAAUUCUGCUGUCAUGGAUGAGCUUUCAAGAGAUUGUUGCUGCAGAGAAUUUCCUUUACUGUUUUGGGAUGAUUUUGGAAUUUGUGGCCUUUAUAAAGUUACGAAUUGAGCGGCCAACUGCUCCUCGGCCUUAUAGAGUUCCUUUAGAGACCGUUGGUUGUAUUUUGAUGGUUAUUCCUCCCACGGUGUUGAUUUGUGUGGUUCUGGCGCUUGCCUCUUUCAAAGUUAUGAUUGUUAGCCUGGUUGCAAUGCUUAUUGGAUUUGUGCUGCAACCAUGUCUGAUGUAUAUGGAGAAAAGGCGAUGGCUGAGGUUCUCUAUAAGUUCUGACCUGCCUGAUUUUCGAUCUGCUGAGCGUGAGAAUGAUGCUGAACCUCUGAUGGACCAAUCCAGUAUUGUUUGUUGAUAGGAGGCUACUCCUGCUUUGGACAUCUACAAUGUAUUUUCUGACAUACAUUUGCUAUCUAUGUACACCAGGAAAUUAUUGUGAUAUUAAGGUCAACGGCAGGUAGUUUACUUCCAGUUUCAGAAAGCCCAUGCAAUCAGGCGCAUCUUUCUGUGUCUUGCUGCUACAGAUUUUCCUGUUCUUCCAUUGUACGGGCGAUCUUUCUGAAUCUUUCAUGCUGAAGCUAAGAACUUAGCAGUGCCCUGCAGCAUUACUUCUAAGAUACGUUGUAGUUCACUUUAUCGCUUGAUAAAAUAUAGCAGUAAUGCUCUGCUUAGUUGUUGUUUUCUUAUAUGGAAGUUACAUUGGUGCAGAAUCAGCAAGGUCCACUUGAGACGUUCAUGACUGGAAAGUGGUGCAUAUGAGUGGAAUCAGAGAUGCCACGUUCUGGACAUCAUUUGUAAAUUUUGAAAGGAGCUCUUGCAUCGCCUCCUCAAUCCCCAUUUCUUUGUUCAAUUUUUGUUUUGUCCUGCUAGAAACUCUUCUUACCAGACUCAAAAAUGGUGACAUAUAGCAUGCAUCUCAUUUUUGGUUUUAACCUAACGACUCCACUGUUAUAUAAAAUUUUACUCAUGGGAAUGAUAUUCUCGGGUUGUGUAA